UACGUAGGUGGCGAGCGUUGUCCGGAUUUACUGGGCGUAAAGGGAGCGUAGGCGGACUUUUAAGUGAGAUGUGAAAUACUCGGGCUCAACUUGAGUGCUGCAUUUCAAACUGGAAGUCUAGAGUGCAGGAGAGGAGAAUGGAAUUCCUAGUGUAGCGGUGAAAUGCGUAGAGGUUAGGAAGAACACCAGUGGCGAAGGCGAUUUUCUGGACUGUAACUGACGCUGAGGCUCGAAAGCGUGGGGAGCAAACAGG
rnacentral:rRNA from 1 species